rnacentral:rRNA from 1 species
AUUGAACGCUGGCGGCAGGCCUAACACAUGCAAGUCGAGCGAGCGGCGGACGGGUGAGUAAUGUCUGGGAAACUGCCUGAUGGAGGGGGAUAACUACUGGAAACGGUAGCUAAUCCCGCAUACCAUCAGAUGUGCCCAGAUGGGAUUAGCUAGUAGGUGGGGUAACGGCUCACCUAGGCGACGAUCCCUAGCUGGGCUGCGAGGUUGACCAGCCACAGUGGAACUUAGACACGGGCCAGACUCUGACGGGAGGCAGCAUGGGGGAAUCUUGCACAAUGGGCGCAAGCCUGAUGCAGCCAUGCCGCGUGUGUGAAGAAGGCCUUCGGGUUGUAAAGCACUUUCAGCGGUGAGGCGUUACCCGCAGAAGAAGCACCGGCUAACUCCGUGCCAGCAGCCGCGGUAAUAC